AACUAUUUUAGAAAGUCGUAGGAUUCUCGAUCUCUCUCCGUCUAGAAAACAGUGGCGAAGAAGAAGGAAGUGAGAAUGAGCUGUGCAACCGUAACUGUGAACUGGAAACACACUAUCCUCUACCUAACCCUAAUCAUAUCUCUUCUCUACUCGAUCGAAACCCUCAUCUCGCACAAACUACACGUCAACCACAACCAAAUCCGCCUCAAAAGGUCUCCGAAUCUCCCUCUACGGUUCCGCGACGACGGCACCUUCAAAAUCCUCCAGGUCGCGGAUAUGCAUUUCGGAAUGGGGAGCAUUACUCGAUGCAGAGAUGUGGCGGAUGCAGAAUACGGUUACUGCUCUGAUCUCAAUACCACUCGGUUCCUUCGGAGGAUGAUUGAAGCUGAGAGACCCGAUCUCAUCGCAUUUACUGGGGAUAAUAUAUUUGGAUCAAGCACUACUGAUGCAGCGGAGUCUCUUCUUCAAGCCAUUGGUCCGGCUAUUGAAUAUGGAAUCCCAUGGGCUGCCAUUUUAGGAAAUCAUGACCAGGAGUCCACUAUGAACCGUGCAGAGCUGAUGACUUUCCUCUCGCUUAUGGAUUUUUCUCUCUCUCAAAUCAAUCCACCUCUCGAAGAUGGCGCGGAAAGAGGCGCAUUGAGGUCAAUUGAUGGCUUUGGGAAUUACCGCCUCAGAGUACACGGUGCACCUGGUUCUGUUCUGUCAAAUAGCACCGUCUUUGACCUCUUCUUUCUUGACAGUGGAGAUAGAGAAACUGUCCAAGGUAGACGAACAUAUGGAUGGAUCAAGGACUCUCAACUUAGUUGGCUUCAAGAUGCUUCUAAACAGGGUCUUAAUCCUGAUCCAGCGCUAGCCUUCUUCCACAUUCCAAUCCCGGAAGUCCGUGAUCUGUGGUACACACCCUUUUUUGGCCAGUUUCAGGAGGGUGUGGCGUGCUCCAUCGUGCAAUCAGGAGUCUUAAAUACCUUUUUGUCCAUGGGAAAUGUAAAAGCCGCGUUCAUAGGACACGACCAUGUCAAUGAUUUCUGCGGAAAUCUAAAAGGGGUAUGGUUUUGUUACGGUGGAGGAUUUGGAUACCAUGCAUAUGGAAGACGAAAUUGGCACAGAAGAGCGAGACUGAUUGAGGCUAAGCUCGGGAAAGGAAAAGACACGUGGACAGGAGUUCAACGUAUCAAGACGUGGAAACGUCUAGACGAUGGAGACUUGAGCAAGAUAGACGAACAAGUCCUAUGGGAAGCUUCCUACUCGUUUCUGAAGUGACCUAGGGACAAGGCAAAUAAGUAAGGAUACAACGCUGGUGUGUAUAUUAUUAACUGGAAACCUACGUUGUUGUCUCCCGAGAGCUUGGUCUGUCUCAUUUUAGUUUUAUCACUGCCCUUUUCUAUAUAAAGCUCACAGGUCGAGAGAGACAAGAGACAGUUGAUUAGAGAGAACUCUGUCGGAAAAUGGAUAACGUCGACCAAGAGUUCAACAAUUACUGGGAAACAAACUCCUUCCUCCAAAACGAAGACUUCGAAUAUGACAGCUGGCCUUUGGAGGAAGCGAUUUCUGGGUCGUAUGAUUCGAGUUCGCCUGAUGGGGCGGCUUCGUCUCCGGCUUCUAAGAAUAUUGUGUCGGAGAGAAA